GGUAUGUUUAAGCGGCAUCGCUUUUACAUUAAAGGCUACGGUACAGGAUGACUAUGCGUCCCAUUAGUUAGUUGGUAAGGUAACGGCUUACCAAGGCAGCGAUGGGUAGGGGCCCUGAGAGGGGGAUCCCCCACACUGGUACUGAGACACGGACCAGACUCCUACGGGAGGCAGCAGUGAGGAAUAUUGGACAAUGGGCGGGAGCCUGAUCCAGCCAUGCCGCGUGCAGGAAGACGGUCCUAUGGAUUGUAAACUGCUUUUGUACGGGAAGAACAAGGGGCACGUGUGCCCUUCUGACGGUACCGUAAGAAUAAGGAUCGGCUAACUCCGUGCCAGCAGCCGCGGUAAUACGGAGGAUCCGAGCGUUAUCCGGAAUCAUUGGGUUUAAAGGGUCCGUAGGCGGGCCAUUAAGUCAGGGGUGAAAGUCUGCGGCUCAACCGUAGAAUUGCCCUUGAUACUGGUGGUCUUGAGUUAUGGUGAAGUAACUAGAAUAUGUAGUGUAGCGGUGAAAUGCAUAGAUAUUACAUAGAAUACCGAUUGCGAAGGCAGGUUACUAACCAUAUACUGACGCUGAUGGACGAAAGCGUGGGGAGCGAACAGGAUUAGAUACCCUGGUAGUCCACGCCGUAAACGAUGGAUACUAGCUGUCCGGAUGCAAAUCUGGGCGGCCAAGCGAAAGUGAUAAGUAUCCCACCUGGGGAGUAC
rnacentral:rRNA from 1 species